AAAAGAGGGCACACUCUCUAUGUGAAAGAUAGUUUUGUGGGAGGCUUUUGUGAAAGAAAGAAGCUUCUAGAACAGAUAUGCAAGCAACUAUUUAGAAUUUGAUUUAAUUUUCUUUGACCAGGUAAAAGCUUGAUAAACGCAUUGAGAUUAUAAUUCUUUUUUUCUUUCACAACAGUGGAGAAAAUAUUUAUCACAUAAUCCUCGUUGUUGAAGCAAAAUGUGUCUAAAGGAAAUUGCAAAUAAAAAUGCAGCCUGAAUUCAGUGCAGCACCAUUUGUUUCACCAGACAGAUGCCAAAAAAUACAAAAGAGCAACUUUGGGAAUGUGCAGGGCAGUCCAAGAAAAGAACGGAGGAAACAAUCUUGUUGCAUUUAAUUCUGACAGCUUCUGAACUAGAACUUGGCACAACAAUGGAGACGGCAAAGCAUACACUGCUUCUUGGCCAGCCAGAAAGAGGACACCCCUCUGGUGAAGAGGCAUGCUGCUACAUCAGAUCACCAGAGAAGCAAAGAUUGUGCUUGAGCACAGAGGAUCCCAUGUACAUUUUGCAGAGCCAGAGGGCAAUUACUUUACUGUUGCCUGGCCCACACAAACACCAUAUCAAGAGAAAGGAAAAUUUAAAAUACAUUUUUAAUGCUGCAAGAUUAAACAAGAGUGCCAUAAAACAUUGUCAUCAUUCAGUGUGUGAUAUUUUACAAAUUUCAAAUUUACACUGCCCCUUUUAAGAGCCAUAAAAAUCUUUAACAGUUGUGCUGCUAUAGGGCUUACACUUAUCUGUUGUAAAAAACAAGUGGGAGUCAGUGUAAUGAAAGAGGUGCAUUUGCCCUCAAAUUCCUUUAGGCACUGAAUUAGAUAUCCUCAGAAUAGGGCAUGGAUCAGAAUUACCGCUUUCUGCUAAUCAAGGGAACAGACAUUUUCAGAAAGAGAAUGUGUGGGUUUUUUUAUGUGUGCAUAGGCAUAAUAUUUUGUUGAAUAAAAUUUAGGAGAAAAAAAAAAAAAGUGAAAAU
rnacentral:lncRNA from 1 species